UCUGUUUUCCGAAUUGUAUUUUGACAAGGCGUCUUCCUUUCGCCGACAUUCAGGCGCAAUUCGUUGUUUUGCCCACUUUCCGGCACAUCUUUUCCCGCUCUUUUAUUACCACCUUGGGAAUAUUUCUUAUCGUGUUUGGACUCGAGAUAAGAGCAUUUUGCGCUCUGCUGCCUGAAAUUACGCUGUACAGACACACGGCACUAGCCCCAGAGGUUUGCUUUCCACUCAAUAACAUCAUGCACACGGCACGAAAUUACUCAAACUGACUGCUAUAAAACGAGCGGGAAUUUUUGGAUGUGGUCAGAAAGCAGUGAUCAUCCCAGUGUUGAGAACAUUUGUGUGAAGUAAAGUUGCCCAGAAAAACCCUCUGAACAAGAUGCCGUGCAAAGGUUGCGAUCCAAACUGCAAAUCCUGCUCCAGGAACUGCUGCCAGGGCUGCAAGUGCGACUCCGCCACGAAAUGCCCCUGCAAGUGUGGCGACAAUGGAUGCUGUGUCAAGGAAUAACAUCCCCAAAUUGGAACAGUUUCCCAGAGCUUCUUUCAAUCAUUUAUUAUCAAUCAAAUUUUGGUUAAAUGUACUUUUGCCGGAUGAUUCUAGUCUAUUUAUGUUUUUUUUUAAAUUAUAAUCAAAAAGUAAUCAUCAAUCUCUUUAUUAUUUACUCUCCUCCUUCUCCGCCUCUUGACCAUCCCCAUUCACCGAAUGUCUCCUAUCUUCUACACCUCGCUUUAACAAACAUCUUACAUUUUACACACUAAACACUAUACAUACAUUUUUCUUUAACAAUUAAUUGUAUCGAUAAAUUGUGCUUUCUCUCCCAUUAUAUAAAUAUAUAU